rnacentral:misc_RNA from 1 species
AAGUCGUAACAAGGUUUCCGUAGGUGAACCUGCGGAAGGAUCAUUAACACGUAUCCACGUAUCCACAAAAGCGAACAAAUUUUCACACUCCCUGAGUCAUGUUACACGAGUCCGGUAGAUGGAUUGGGUUUAAAGGGUUUGAAUGGGACUCGCAAGAGUCGACCCCCCGGUUCUAUGUAGACGGUUUUGGAUUUUAUUAUCCACUAUCCGGCCAACGGCUGUAGUAAAAGGCAAAGGCAUUCUCUUAUGGGCAUGGCUCCCAAUUCACGCUGAGCCCAUAGGAAACCACAAUAACUAUAAUCACCCCCUUUUUGCUAGUUGACUUUUAUAUGUUGUCCUCAGAUGCGAAUUAAUUUUCGUGCCUGGAGUCACACGUUUAUUUACUUGAACGUUAAAAUACAACUCUUAGCAAUGGAUAUCUUGGUUCUC